rnacentral:rRNA from 1 species
GGGUGCGAUCAUACCAGCGC